rnacentral:rRNA from 1 species
UACAGAGGUCCCGAGCGUUGUUCGGAUUCAUUGGGCGUAAAGGGCGCGUAGGCGGCUCAUGAAGGCUGUGGUGAAAGUCCGGGGCUCAACCUCGGAUCGGCCGUGGCGACUCGUGGGCUGGAGCACUGUAGAGGCGGGUGGAAUUCCGGGUGUAGCGGUGGAAUGCGUAGAGAUCCGGAAGAACACCAGUGGCGAAGGCGGCCCGCUGGGCAGUGGCUGACGCUGAGGCGCGACAGCGUGGGGAGCAAACAGGG